GCUAUGGACCAGAAUGUUCUAUUUUGCCAAUUUAACGUAUGGUAUUUGUAAGGAAAUGAAGAUUCUACAACAAGUUCCUGAUUUUCCACGGCUUUUAUAGCCAAAUAAUGGAGUACAUGGCUAUGUGGUCUUAAUGGAUUCAGGAGCGAAGACUUUAACCCUAAAAUUGGCUACAUCAAAAGCGUUGUGGCAAUUUGUAAACCGUACAGACUAUUUACAAGGAAAUAAAACUCUGACAUACAUGUAAAUGCAAUGCAGACUUAUCUCGAACUGAAACUCUCAUGGUAACCAGCUGACCAAAGCUGGCAACCCUGAAAUGUCAAAUUUGAAAGUGCAGUGUUUAGUCUAAAAACGCUUGUAAAAACUGGACAGGAAACUAACACUUUAAUUUCCAAGAUUAGGAAACCAUUUUCUUGCAUUUAUGUCGGCCGGGCUGGUGAUGAGAUAAGCGGCAUGCAUGAGCUGGACAGAAAGGGCUGGAGAGAAAGGGGAGCACAGGCAGCCCACGUCGGGGACGGAACUGCGCUCCGCUUCACCGGCGAACUCCGCUUCGCGCAGCGCGUCAGUCAGUAACAGUAGCAGCGUGGAAGUAACAGGCGAAGCUACGGCAGUCACAUCCAUGCUGCUUUAUUGCCGGUUCCUUCAGCCCACUUUUUAACGGUUAUAUUUGUAAAUAAUCUGCUGGAAAUACGUGCUUAGAUCCCCAGCAGGAGACAGCGAGACCUUGGUUAGUUCCCAGGAAAAAGACCUUCGUCCUUUACUGUCCUGAUUUUAUUCCUUUACCUUGUCAGUAUUAUUUUUUUUUCGUGAAUUUGACACAAAGACCACAAAAAAUACAGAAGAGGACUGUGCAAAUAUUCCAAGGCAUUAACUCGUAACGGGAACUUGGAGCAAGCAAACAUCAGAACGGGCUCUUCUCUUCUUUCACACUUACCCUGGAUGUGCACCUUCCCCUCAUAGCAGCAGUUAUUUUUACAAGCACACAACAAGCUCUUUGGAUUAUAAUAUAAGUUCGUAUAACAUUGAGCUGACAGUUGAAAGACUUCUUGUUGUGAUACAGUUCCUCUUCUAACUGUAAACCACACCAUUCAUAUAAUGAAAAAGAAGUAAAACAUUUAUAUGUCUGAAGCACAUUGAAUAUGCGUAUGUGGGGCGAACAAUCUCUGUCAUUGCCAUUUCAUCCUGACGCCUUAGUUAGCUGCUGGAAAAGAGCCUAAGACCUGCUGCAUUUAAUAAUCACACCAGACUUCCAUUUUUUUUUUUCCUGGUUGAAGGAAACGUUUUGUAACUGCCAUAUUGGAGAAAUAAAAGUCAGACCUGUGACAUCAUGGGUAGAAGU